AGUUUACUGUUAGCUAAAUCGUCAAAGAAGAAAGACUUAAUUUCCAAGUGGUCGACAGCUGUUUGAAAACAAAAAAAAAAAAAGAAAUCUGAUUUUAGUUAUUAUUUUAAUGGAAAAUAUGUGAAAUUAGUUGAAGGAGGAAAAAGUGUUGUUUUAGUUAUUUGUUUCAAGAAGAAAAGUAUAUUAAUUUGGUAGAAUUUGGGAGAAUCGCUGUCGGCCACUUGGAAUCACUUACAUAUUUUCACCCCAAGAACAUCAGGGGAUGAAGGAUAAAUCAGGGGAUCUAGCAGCAGUCACUGGGUAUUACAGGAUGGAAUCAUCUUUUUGAGUUUGGGUUUCAAUCAUUAGUUAUCAUUUUUUUGGACAUUGGGAAAGGACGUUACGUUAAUUGGUGUUGGACAGUGGACAGUGGUUUAAGUAUUUUUUUUUAUUAUUAUUAUCAAGAACAUUAAUUUUUCUCCUAAUUGGGACAUUAAAUAUUUAUUAAAAAUAGCAUAUUAAAUAAGUUUACAUUAUACUCCACUUGUUAUAUUUACAUAUUUUUUUCAUACCAAAAACAAAAGAAACAAUUUAAAUAUUUUCAAUUUUUUAAUAAUAAAUAAUACUUCCUCUUCAAGGCUUAAAAUUUGCAUAUUUUCUUUAAUCAAUUUAUUUCUUUUGUUUAUCUUCUCAACUGUAAGGUAAUUGAGCUCAACUAUCCGGAGAAAAUUUGGUAAUUUUUUUUAUAUUAUAAUUAAUGAACCUUGGCUUUCGUCCCCCUCAGGGUAAUUGACCAUUUAACUUGUUUUUAUUAUUGUAACCGCACAUGAAGUUAGAGUUUUACCUCGAGUAGUGUGGCGGUUCAUUUUUGUACCAUAAAUUGGAUUUGACAUUUCAAACCAAUUUUUAGGGGUGGACUUUGUUCCUCUUUUGUUUAAACUACUCUGUAGACUGUAAAUUGUACAUACUUUAUUAGUAAAAUAUUUUUUAUUAAUUUUAGGGUAUACCUUGUUGGUACAUAUACGAAUUUUUUGUACAUAUAAGUAAAAGCUAAAUACACUAU
rnacentral:lncRNA from 1 species